GACCGGAAGCGCCGCCACGGCAGGUGCACGGGCUACCGCCGGUGGACGUCGCCGCCGCCGUAGUAGGGGCACGUCGCCAACGCCGCCCUCCGCGGCCGCUGCUGGAGUCGUCGCCGCCGCCGCAGGAGUCAACCGCCGCCGCAGGUGCACGUCGCCCCUGCCGCCGUGGGGGCACGUCGUCAACGCCGCCCCCUGCGCCCGUCGCCGCCGCCGCUGCAGGUGCUCGUCGCCCCUGCCGCCGACUCCUCAUGGUCCAGCGCAAGCCAAAGCUUCUCGAAUGCCAAGCAGGGUCGCCGCCGCCGCCGCCGCGCAGGGGCCGCUGUCGCCGCUGUGCCUUCAACGAGGCUGCCGCCGCCGUGCCUUCAGCGUGGCCACCGCCGCCCCGGCCGCGCACGGGCCGCCGCCGCACCGUCCAGAUCGGGAGGAAGGGUAGGGUUUUGCUA
rnacentral:lncRNA from 1 species